rnacentral:rRNA from 1 species
UACAGAGGGUGCUAGCGUUGUUCGGAAUCAUUGGGCGUAAAGCGUGCGCAGGCGGUUGGCAAAGUCAGCUGUGAAAGCCCCGGGCUUAACCUGGGAAUGGCGGUUGAAACUAGUCGACUAGAAUCUGGCAGAGGGGGGUGGAAUUCCACGUGUAGCAGUGAAAUGCGUAGAGAUGUGGAGGAACACCGAUGGCGAAGGCAGCCCCCUGGGCUGAGAUUGACGCUCAGGCACGAAAGCGUGGGGAGCAAACAGG